UGUAGGAUAGCUCGGUGGGUAGGGCAUGAGACUCUUAAUCUCAGGGUUAUGAGUUCGAGCCACAUGUUGGGUAA